GAUGAUUCUCGGAUGAUGCAGAGGCUGUUUGGGCCAUGAUGAUGUCUUCUAGUUUUGAGAUGUGUAAGCAAGGACAAGUAAGUGACUGA
rnacentral:ribozyme from 1 species